UUCCUCAUCAACCGGAAGGGAUUCCUUCCAGUCGAUGAGGUAAAUCUUCCUCAUCGACCGGAAGGAAUUCCUUCCGGUCAACGAGGUAUAGGUUCCUCAUUGACCGGAAGGAAUCCCUUGCGGUCGACGAGGUAUAGGUUCCUCAUUGACCAGAAGGAAUCCCUUCCGGUCGACAAGGUA
rnacentral:miRNA from 1 species